AUUUUGUGCAUUUUUAUUUGAAUUCCGAAAAUUGCAUUUAAAUCUGAAAUUUGAUUUCAGUAGAAGAUAAACGAACUAGCACAGUAGUAAAAGUAGGCAAGCACUGUGUGCAUGUGCUAAUCUAGCGGUUGGUGUAUGCAGCGGAGAAGGCGUCGACGACGAACUGACCCAAGCACGAAGAUGGCAGAUAGAAGAAGAGGUGAAGAUGCCAAGUAGUUUUGGCAUUUAUCAAACAAUCUCAAGAUCCUAACCACAGAUUUGCAGAAGUCCCCUCAUAUUUAUUAUCACACCAAAAUCGAGAUUGACCCUUUUCAUUGCAAUCAGAGAAACAAAAAAGGUAUGUCAGCAAAAAAAUAUAUACACUAUUACGAUUUUUUGAGAUUAUUUCUCAACCAGUUUCAAGUAAAACACAGAAACAGGAAAAGCAUUGCUUACUGUAAUUUACAAUGGUAUUCUGUUACUGCUACAUCAUUUAGAGGAAUUGGAUGAUAUUUAUGUACAAUACAUUCAAUCUCAAGAAAUCAUGUCUGUCUGUCUCUC